CAUUGAAUAUCUUAACUUUAAAGACUUGAUUUUUUAAUUCAAAGAUAAUAUUUAUUUAUUUUCAAUGA
rnacentral:tRNA from 1 species